AACAAGGCGUACCUGCGGACCUGCGGAAGGAUCAUUACAGAGUUGCAAAACUCCCUAAACCAUUGUGAACCUACCUUCUACCGUUGCUUCGGCGGGCGGGCCUAGCGCCCCCCCGGCCCCCCGCGGGCGCCCGCCGGAGGAUAACCAAACUCUUGACAUCAGUGGCCUCUCUGAGUAUUCUUUACUGAAUAAGUCAAAACUUUUAACAACGGAUCU
rnacentral:misc_RNA from 1 species